CUCUGAGCCUGUUUCAUAUUUAUUAAUUUAUUUGCAUUUUUAAUGUUUCUGGUGUUUUCUUGCUCUAUGUGUUUAUGCAUAGAGUCCAGAAGAGCAUAUCAGAUCCUCAUGAGCUGUGGUUAAGACAGUUGUGAGUGAGCAUGUAGGUGCUGGGAACUGAACCAGGAUCCUCUGGAAGAGCAGAGAGCACCAUUAACUGCUAGGCCAUCUCUGCAGCCCGGGUUUUGUUUCAUUUUGUUUUGUUGUUUUGUCCUGGGUACUGUGAUUAGAGGCAGAGGCACCAUGUCCUGCUUUAAAAUAAACUCUUUUACAAGACAUGUAAUUGUUCCCUCUUUGAGGUUUCAUCUUGCUUUUUGCUUCUAAAGAUGUAUUUGCUUUUAUCUCAUGUGUGUGGCCUGAGUGUAUGUUUGUUUGCCUUGUGCAUUGAACCUGAAGUUCACUGACUCACUAGGUUGUCUGACCAUAUCUCUGCCUCCCAUUCCUGGCACUCCACUCAUUGCUACCAUGUCUGGCUUCUCACCGAGACUCCAAACUUCUUCAAGCAUGCCAAUCAUAACUGUAACAUCAUGUCUUCUCUUGUAGGCCCACUUUGUUUUCCAAAGACAGCAUUGCCUUUACUGAAGGCCAGCUACAUCGAAUGGCAUACCACAUGAUCAUGAUGAGUUGUCCUGUGAAGGAACCGACCCAUCUGCAAUACAACCGCUGUUUGGAAAAUUCAUCUUCUUAUUGAGCUUGGCUGUCUGCUACAUGCUCCCUGUGGAGUGGAACAUCCACAGACAUUUUAAAGGAACAGCUUUGUGUCCCACCAAAGCUCCUGGCACUACUGACUUUGGAUCUGUGGGCAGUAUUUGGAUCAAUAGCAGUAUUGUUGCCGAUUGAAAACUCAGGGAGACGCACACACAUGUACCCCAGGUGCUGAGGACUGAAAACAUGGACUCACACAUCAUACAUGUGUAAGCUCUCCCAUCUACCACUGAGCUUCAGGUUUGUCAGCCAUCUCUCCACAUACACAUUAAGCAUUUGACA
rnacentral:lncRNA from 1 species